CAGCAGCUAGCUUGCUGCUCUCAAACUGUGCCUGUAGUGAUUUCUUGGACAUGCUCCUUAGUAAGACACGACGGGCAUAAAAGCAAGCAAUAAUUAAUGGCUGCAAUGCUAUCAUGACAAGCGCCAAGCGCCAAGAAGUGACCAAGCCUAUGGUGCAUGCAAUUAGCACAGCGGAAAUUGUCUGGAUUACAAGCGCCAUUCGGUCCCCUACAAGUGACCUCACCUACAAUACAAAUAUUUUCAUAUUUGAUCAGGACUCAGGAAUCCUAGUACUAGUAUUACAAUGUACCUGUACUAGAAGCUGCCAAGCUGGGUACCUUUGGAGCUCUCCAAGCUAAUUGAACUUACUAGAACAUUGCUGUCUUCUCUAAUCCAGCCUGUAUAGAACAGGUCAACUUGUCGUACAUUUCUCGGGAACAGUUGCCGGCAGCUCUCUGAAUCUUAGGUUUGAGGAAGGCCUUUCCUAGUUUGUUAUUUUUCCGUUUCACUUAGCGCAUAGGCAGGACCCUCCGCCAGUGCUGUGGCCAUCUAGCAGCUAAGGCAGUAGUACUGUAGGGGUAGACUUGUGUUGGAGUGUAACAAAAGUUGUUCCUUUCAAAAGCAGCAGUGUUGCUUACUCGUGCUUCUUCUUUUUUUUGUAUUCUCCAGUAAAAUAACUGUGGUCCUGUACUUUUGGACUCAUGUGCUUACUAGAUAGUUAUUAGCCGAAUUAUUUAUUGUUGAUCAAAGGGUUAUAAAUAUCUUGUAAUUUU